UACGGGGGGGGCAAGCGUUGUUCGGAAUUACUGGGCGUAAAGGGCGCGUAGGCGGUUUGCUAAGUUGGACGUGAGAACUCUGGGCUUAACCCAGAGCCUGCAUCCAAAACUGGCAAGCUAGAGUUUUGGAGGGGGAAGCGGAAUUCCUGGUGUAGCAGUGAAAUGCGUAGAUAUCAGGAGGAACACCGGUGGCGAAGGCGGCCAUCUGGACGGUAACUGACGCUGAGACGCGAAAGCGUGGGGAGCGAACAGG
rnacentral:rRNA from 1 species